rnacentral:rRNA from 1 species
GAUGAACGCUGGCGGCGUGCCUAAUACAUGCAAGUCGAGCGAACGGACGAGAAGCUUGCUUCUCUGAUGUUAGCGGCGGACGGGUGAGUAACACGUGGAUAACCUACCUAUAAGACUGGGAUAACUUCGGGAAACCGGAGCUAAUACCGGAUAAUAUUUUGAACCGCAUGGUUCAAAAGUGAAAGACGGUCUUGCUGUCACUUAUAGAUGGAUCCGCGCUGCAUUAGCUAGUUGGUAAGGUAACGGCUUACCAAGGCAACGAUGCAUAGCCGACCUGAGAGGGUGAUCGGCCACACUGGAACUGAGACACGGUCCAGACUCCUACGGGAGGCAGCAGUAGGGAAUCUUCCGCAAUGGGCGAAAGCCUGACGGAGCAACGCCGCGUGAGUGACGAAGGUCUUCGGAUCGUAAAACUCUGUUAUUAGGGAAGAACAUAUGUGUAAGUAACUGUGCACAUCUUGACGGUACCUAAUCAGAAAGCCACGGCUAACUACGUGCCAGCAGCCGCGGUAAUACGUAGGUGGCAAGCGUUAUCCGGAAUUAUUGGGUGUAAAGCGCGCGUAGGCGGUUUUUUAAGUCUGAUGUGAAAGCCCACGGCUCAACCGUGGAGGGUCAUUGGAAACUGGAAAACUUGAGUGCAGAAGAGGAAAGUGGAAUUCCAUGUGUAGCGGUGAAAUGCGCAGAGAUAUGGAGGAACACCAGUGGCGAAGGCGACUUUCUGGUCUGUAACUGACGCUGAUGUGCGAAAGCGUGGGGAUCAAACAGGAUUAGAUACCCUGGUAGUCCACGCCGUAAACGAUGAGUGCUAAGUGUUAGGGGGUUUCCGCCCCUUAGUGCUGCAGCUAACGCAUUAAGCACUCCGCCUGGGGAGUACGACCGCAAGGUUGAAACUCAAAGGAAUUGACGGGGACCCGCACAAGCGGUGGAGCAUGUGGUUUAAUUCGAAGCAACGCGAAGAACCUUACCAAAUCUUGACAUCCUUUGACAACUCUAGAGAUAGAGCUUUCCCCUUCGGGGGACAAAGUGACAGGUGGUGCAUGGUUGUCGUCAGCUCGUGUCGUGAGAUGUUGGGUUAAGUCCCGCAACGAGCGCAACCCUUAAGCUUAGUUGCCAUCAUUAAGUUGGGCACUCUAAGUUGACUGCCGGUGACAAACCGGAGGAAGGUGGGGAUGACGUCAAAUCAUCAUGCCCCUUAUGAUUUGGGCUACACACGUGCUACAAUGGACAAUACAAAGGGCAGCGAAACUGCGAGGUCAAGCAAAUCCCAUAAAGUUGUUCUCAGUUCGGAUUGUAGUCUGCAACUCGACUACAUGAAGCUGGAAUCGCUAGUAAUCGUAGAUCAGCAUGCUACGGUGAAUACGUUCCCGGGUCU